rnacentral:rRNA from 1 species
CGAACGGGUGAGUAACACGUGAGCAACCUGCCUAUGACAGUGGGAUAGCCUCGGGAAACCGGGAUUAAUACCGCAUAAAAUCGUAGAAACACAUGUUUUAACGGUCAAAGAUUUAUCGGUCAUAGAUGGGCUCGCGUCUGAUUAGCUAGUUGGUGAGAUAACAGCCCACCAAGGCGACGAUCAGUAGCCGGUCUGAGAGGAUGAACGGCCACAUUGGAACUGAGACACGGUCCAA